UACAGAGGUCCCAAGCGUUGUUCGGAUUCACUGGGCGUAAAGGGUGCGUAGGCGGUCGGGUAAGUCUGAUGUGAAAUCUCACAGCUUAACUGUGAAACUGCAUUGGAUACUAUUCGGCUUGAGAGUUGGAGGGGGGACUGGAAUUCCUGGUGUAGCGGUGAAAUGCGUAGAUAUUGGGAAGAACAUCGAUGGCGAAGGCAGCCAUCUGGACCGACACUGACGCUGAGGCGCGAAAGCGUGGGGAGCAAACAGG
rnacentral:rRNA from 1 species